rnacentral:rRNA from 1 species
GAUGAACGCUGGCGGCGUGCCUAAUACAUGCAAGUCGAGCGAACAGACGAGGAGCUUGCUCCUCUGACGUUAGCGGCGGGCGGGUGAGUAACACGUGGAUAACCUACCUAUAAGACUGGGAUAACUUCGGGAAACCGGAGCUAAUACCGGAUAAUAUAUUGAACCGCAUGGUUCAAUAGUGAAAGACGGUUUUGCUGUCACUUAUAGAUGGAUCCGCGCCGCAUUAGCUAGUUGGUAAGGUAACGGCUUACCAAGGCAACGAUGCGUAGCCGACCUGAGAGGGUGAUCGGCCACACUGGAACUGAGACACGGUCCAGACUCCUACGGGAGGCAGCAGUAGGGAAUCUUCCGCAAUGGGCGAAAGCCUGACGGAGCAACGCCGCGUGAGUGAUGAAGGUCUUCGUAUCGUAAAACUCUGUUAUUAGGGAAGAACAAAUGUGUAAGUAACUAUGCACGUCUUGACGGUACCUAAUCAGAAAGCCACGGCUAACUACGUG